UCUCUGGUGGUCCAGUAGCUAAGACUCUGCACUCCCAAAGUAGGCAGUCUGGGUUCCAUUCCUGGUCAGGGAA
rnacentral:tRNA from 1 species